rfam:Pan troglodytes isolate Yerkes chimp pedigree #C0471 (Clint) chromosome 6, whole genome shotgun sequence.
GCCGGGUGUGGUGGUGUGCACCUGUAGUCCCAGCUACUCGGGAGGCUGAGGCAGGGGAAUCGCUUGAACCCGGGAGGUGGAGGUUGCAGUGAGCUGAGACUGUGCCAUUGCACUCUAGCCUGGGUAACAGAGCAAGACUCUGUCUCGA